AUCCAGCUGACGAGUCCCAUAUAGGACGAAACUCUCAUCCUUGAU
rfam:Schistosoma mansoni strain Puerto Rico chromosome 2, complete genome